rnacentral:rRNA from 1 species
CUGCGGAAGGAUCAUUACCGAAUUGUCAACACGAGUUGUUGCUGGUCCUCAAAUGGGGGCAUGUGCACGCUCUGUUUACACAUCCACUCACACCUGUGCACCCACCGUAGUUCUGUGGCCUGGGGGGCUCUGUCCCCUCUGCUGCGGUUCUAUGUCUUUACAUACACACUGUAAUAAAGUUUCAUGGAAUGCAUCAUGCGUUUAACGCAAUACAAUACAACUUUCAGCAACGGAUCUCUUGGCUCUCGCAUCGAUGAAGAACGCAGCGAAAUGCGAUAAGUAAUGUGAAUUGCAGAAUUCAGUGAAUCAUCGAAUCUUUGAACGCACCUUGCGCCCUUUGGCUAUUCCAGAGGGCAUGCCUGUUUGAGUAUCAUGAACACCUCAACUCUCAUGGUUUUUCUGUGAUGAGUUUGGACUUUGGAGGUCUUGCUGGCCUGUGGUCAGCUCCUCUCAAAUGAAUCAGCUCCCCAGUGUUUGGUGGCGUCACAGGUGUGAUAACUAUCUACGCUUGCGGCUUCCACAAGGUAACCUUCAGUGAUGGAGGUUCGCUGGAGCUCAUAAAUGUCUCUCCUCAGCGAGGACAGCCUCUUGAAUGUUUGAUCUCAAAUCAGGUAGGGCUACCCGCUGAAC